rnacentral:rRNA from 1 species
CCUACGGGAGGCAGCAGUGGGGAAUUUUGGAGAAUGGGGGAAACCCUGAUCCAGCCAUUCCGCGUGAGUGAAGAAGGCCUUCGGGUUGUAAAGCUCUUUCGCAAGAGAAGAAAUCUUACUAUCGAAUAAAUAGUAAGGAUGACGGUAUCUUGACAAGAAGCACCGGCUAACUACGUGCCAGCAGCCGCGGUAAUACGUAGGGUGCGAGCGUUAAUCGGAAUUACUGGGCGUAAAGCGUGCGCAGGCGGUUUUAUAAGUCAGAUGUGAAAUCCCCGAGCUCAACUUGGGAACUGCGUUUGAAACUGUAAGACUAGAGUGUGUCAGAGGGGGGUAGAAUUCCACGUGUAGCAGUGAAAUGCGUAGAGAUGUGGAGGAAUACCAAUGGCGAAGGCAGCCCCCUGGGAUAACACUGACGCUCAUGCACGAAAGCGUGGGGAGCAAACAGGAUUAGAUACCCUGGUAGUCCACGCCCUAAACGAUGUCUACUAGUUGUUGGUGGAGUAAAAUCCAUGAGUAACGCAGCUAACGCGUGAAGUAGACCGCCUGGGGAGUACGGUCGCAAGAUUAAAACUCAAAGGAAUUGACGG